rnacentral:rRNA from 1 species
UACGUAGGGUGCGAGCGUUAAUCGGAAUUACUGGGCGUAAAGCGCGCGCAGGCGGUUUUGUAAGCCAGGUGUGAAAUCCCCGGGCUUAACCUGGGAAUGGCAUUUGGGACUGCAAGGCUCGAGUGCGGCAGAGGAGACUGGAAUUCCUGGUGUAGCAGUGAAAUGCGUAGAUAUCAGGAGGAACACCGAUGGCGAAGGCAGGUCUCUGGGCUGACACUGACGCUCAUGCACGAAAGCGUGGGGAGCAAACAGG